rnacentral:lncRNA from 1 species
CCACUACAUCUUUUUAGCCCAUAUAACUAGCUUCUACUUCAGAUUAUAGUUCCCUAAAAUCAGGAAGGACUUUUAUUAGGAUGUAACGUAAGCUAGGAACAUGGUUAACAAAGAAAGGAAAUAAGGAAAACAAAGUGUAUGUUUGAGAAAAAUGCAGAGAAUUUUUUUAUUUUUUUAUUUUUUGGAAGUUGCAAGGUGGAUUUCACCUAUUAUUGUUAUUUUUAUUCUUUUGAAACAACAACUUUUGUUUUGUUGUUUUUUUUUUUUGCUUUUUUUUUUGUAUAACUUCACUGAACAACAUAAUUAUUUACAUUUUCUCAAACAUAAAUAGGUGAUGGAACUUAUAAGAUAUCGGAUAAUACUCCAAAUCGGAGUGGGUCAAGAUGAUAAGUUGACAAAGAAAAUGUUUUUUUUUUAAAGGCUCAAAAGGGUUAACUAUGGAUAUUAAAUAAAAGGGAUGGCUUGAAAGGCUCAAACGGAUCAAAGAUGGCCUCUCCAUCGUCUUUUAGGGCUCUAAAUAAUCUUCCAUAUCUACUAGUUAGAUGGGCCUCCAAAU